UUUGAUAGAAUUCUUAUUAUGUUCAUGCCCCAAAAGUAUCAACCCGAUCAUAUGUUCUUGAGACAGGUGCCAAUACGUCGUGUACACCUAUUCACUGCAAUCCAACUGACGUGUCUCGUCUGCUUGUGGGUGAUAAAAUCUUUUUCAAUGACUUCCAUACUCUUCCCUUUGAUGUUAGUUGUAAUGAUUGGGAUAAGGAAAGCGUUGGAUUUCUUCUUCACGAGGAGGGAGAUGAAAAUUCUCGAUGACGUCAUGCCGGAGAUGACAAAA